AUUGAACGCUGGCGGCAGGCCUAACACAUGCAAGUCGAGCGAGCGGCGGACGGGUGAGUAAUGUAUGGGGACUGCCCGAUAGAGGGGGAUAACUACUGGAAACGGUAGCUAAUACCGCAUACUAUCGGAUAACCCAUAUGGGAUUAGCUAGUGGGUGAGGUAUUGGCUCACCUAGGCGACGAUCCCUAGCUGGUCUGAGAGGAUGAUCAGACACACUGGGACGGAGACACGGCGCAGACUCCGACGGAGGAAGCAGGGGGGAAUAUUGAACAAUGGGCGCAAGCCUGAAGCAGCCAUGCCGCGUGUAUGAAGAAGGCACUAGGGUUGUAAAGUACGUUCAGUCGGGAGGCGUUACCGACAGAAGAAGCACCGGCUAACUCCGUGCCAGAAGCCGCGGGAAUUC
rnacentral:rRNA from 1 species